UGUGCUGACCCAGAGACCACACCUCUUCCCCCAGGGCCUUGCUGUCUAUCCUGCUCAGCUCUUUAUUGAGAGUAUGCCCAGGCAAUAAGAGAGGUGAGAUCAAGCCUCCACGUUCCCAGGACUCUCCUGGCUUGUACAUCGAAAGUCCCACGUCCCACGAAUCUCCAUUUAGGGCAAGCUGUGACAGUGGAUCACCCAAGACGGUUUCUACCUUCUUAUCCAUACCACCCACCUUCUUGGCCUUUACGGAUCACACGACUCUGGUUCCAUGAAGCGCAGCGGGCUUUUUGAAGCCCACACCCUUGAAUUACUACCUGCCCCACUUGACGCCAAAGAACUGCUGUCAGCUAUUGCUCAGCUCUGGCCCCUUUCCACCUUAGCUGUGAGGGGGCAGCCCCCUGUCCGCUCCCCAGAGGACAAAGAGGGACACAAGAUUUAUUACAGGCUUGCUGAUAUGUUUGAAUAAAGCCCCCCUCUCAGAAAGGACGCCGCCAACAAGUCCUGUGUCUGAGUGGCUGGAAAUGAGGAGAGAAUUAGACCCAGCAUCUGCAACAGAAACGGAAGGCAGGGCUUUCGAUGCAGCCUGGAGGAUCCUGGAACCAUGAGGCUAUUGCCCAGGCAAGGCAGCAGAGGUUUGAGGAGCUGAAGCAACUCACCAGAGGCAUCAGUGCUCCUGUGUAGCCGAGAGAGGAGCCCAGGUAACUUCCGGGGACAUCAAAGUCAUCACAGAGGCAGAAAGGGACACGCCUUGCCAAUCACUCAGCACAUGCCCCGGGUGCCCGGCAUUGUGAGACUUGCAGCAGUGAACAAUCCA